rnacentral:rRNA from 1 species
GACGAACGCUGGCGGCGUGCCUAAUACAUGCAAGUAGAACGCUGAAGGAGGAGCUUGCUUCUCCGGAUGAGUUGCGAACGGGUGAGUAACGCGUAGGUAACCUGCCUGGUAGCGGGGGAUAACUAUUGGAAACGAUAGCUAAUACCGCAUAACAGUAGAUGUUGCAUGACAUUUGCUUAAAAGGUGCAAUUGCAUCACUACCAGAUGGACCUGCGUUGUAUUAGCUAGUUGGUGAGGUAACGGCUCACCAAGGCGACGAUACAUAGCCGACCUGAGAGGGUGAUCGGCCACACUGGGAGUGAGACACGGCCCAGACUCCUACGGGAGGCAGCAGUAGGGAAUCUUCGGCAAUGGACGGAAGUCUGACCGAGCAACGCCGCGUGAGUGUAGAAGGUUUUCGGAUCGUAAAGCUCUGUUGUAAGAGAAGAACGAGUGUGAGAGUGGAAAGUUCACACUGUGACGGUAUCUUACCAGAAAGGGACGGCUAACUACGUG